GACGAACGCUGGCGGCGUGCCUAAUACAUGCAAGUAGGACGCAGUUGCGAACGGGUGAGUAACGCGUAGGUAACUACCUAUUAGAGGGGGAUAACUAUUGGAAACGAUAGCUAAUACCGCCUACGAGUAGAGGGACCUGCGUUGUAUUAUCUAGUAGGUGGGGUAAUGUCCUACCCAGGCAACGAUACAUAGCCGGCCUGAGAGGGUGAUCGGCCACACUGGGACUGAGACAAGGCCCAGACUCCUACGGGAGGCAGCAGGAGGGAAUCUUCGGCAAUGGGGGGAACCCUGACCGAGCAACGCCGCGUGAGUGAUGAAGGUUUUCGGAUCGUAAAGCUCUGUUGUUAAGGAAGCGGUACUUAACCAGAAAGGGACGGCUAACUACGUGCCAGCCGCCGCGGUAAUAC
rnacentral:rRNA from 1 species